AAAAUUACAUACAAAGUGGAGACCUAAUUAACAGAAAACAUUAAUAGUAUGCAUAGUUAGGCUAAAUUAAAAUUAAUAGUACCAAAUUUGAAAGACAUUUAGGCUAAAUUAAAAUUAAAAAUUAGUUAAAUUACUUACCAAACCAAAGUCCAAAACAGAGUGGAGGCGACUGGCGAAGCGAUUCAGGCGAAGAGGCGACUGGGCCGACUGGCGAUUCAGGCGGCGGCGAAGAGGGAAGAGUCGAACUGUCGAAGAGAUAGACUAGAGAGGCGGGAGGGAAGAGAUGAUUCUGAUGAAUAGAGGCAACUGGCAAGAAUUAUUAAGACCCACUGACCCAGACCUAAUAAAAGGAAGAAAAAAAAAUUAAAUUUUUUAAUAAAACGACGUCGUUUCAUGAGUUUUAAAAAAAAAAAUAGAAAUGAAGAACUGAAGAAGUGAAGAAGUCUCGCCUCUCGGAACUGCUCGUCGGUCGCCUGGACGCC
rnacentral:lncRNA from 1 species